UGCGCAGGCGGUUAUAUAAGACAGAUGUGAAAUCCCCGGGCUCAACCUGGGAACUGCAUUUGUGACUGUAUAGCUAGAGUACGGCAGAGGGGGAGUGGAAUUCCGCGUGUAGCAGUGAAAUGCGUAGAUAUGUGGAAGAACACCGAUGGCGAAGGCAGCCUCCUGGGACAUAACUGACGCUCAGGCACGAAAGCUGGGAGCAAACAG
rnacentral:rRNA from 1 species